UUGCCAUUUCAUAAGCGGAGGAAAAGAAACCAACCGGGAUUGCCUUAGUAACGGCGAGUGAAGCGGCAAAAGCUCAAAUUUGAAAUCUGGUACCUUCGGUGCCCGAGUUGUAAUUUGGAGAGGGCAACUUUGGGGCCGUUCCUUGUCUAUGUUCCUUGGAACAGGACGUCAUAGAGGGUGAGAAUCCCGUGUGGCGAGGAGUGCGGUUCUUUGUAAAGUGCCUUCGAAGAGUCGAGUUGUUUGGGAAUGCAGCUCUAAGUGGGUGGUAAAUUCCAUCUAAAGCUAAAUAUUGGCGAGAGACCGAUAGCGAACAAGUACAGUGAUGGAAAGAUGAAAAGAACUUUGAAAAGAGAGUGAAAAAGUACGUGAAAUUGUUGAAAGGGAAGGGCAUUUGAUCAGACAUGGUGUUUUGUGCCCUCUGCUCCUUGUGGGUAGGGGAAUCUCGCAUUUCACUGGGCCAGCAUCAGUUUUGGUGGCAGGAUAAAUCCAUAGGAAUGUAGCUUGCCUCGGUAAGUAUUAUAGCCUGUGGGAAUACUGCCAGCUGGGACUGAGGACUGCGACGUAAGUCAAGGAUGCUGGCAUAAUGGUUAUAUGCCGCCCGUCUUGAACCGGGACCCA
rnacentral:rRNA from 1 species